AAGUCCGUGGUGGUUCCCACGUCAGAGUGCAAAUCUGGAGAAGCGUAUUUACGUAUGCCGGGCUUU
rnacentral:tRNA from 1 species